rnacentral:rRNA from 1 species
UACGAAGGGGGCUAGCGUUGCUCGGAAUCACUGGGCGUAAAGGGUUCGUAGGUGGCCAGCUAAGUCAGACGUGAAAUCCCUCAGCUUAACUGGGGAACUGCGUCUGAGACUGGAUGGCUUGAGUGCAGGAGAGGAACGCGGAAUUCCAGGUGUAGCGGUGAAAUGCGUAGAUAUCUGGAGGAACACCGGUGGCGAAGGCGGCAUCCUGGACCGGCAUUGACGCUGAGGCGCGAAAGCUAGGGGAGCAAACGGG